AUAAGCAUAGUUUUAAUAAAACACUAGAUUGUGAUUCUAGAGAUAGAAGCUAAACUCUUCUUGCUUAUC
rnacentral:tRNA from 1 species